GGCUGCUCCUGUUAUGAGCAAGUCCUGUGUUCGGCUUCUCGGGUCUUAAUUCAGAACAAAUACUUCCCUCACUGCCCUCGACGCUAUAGCUCAAUUGCUAGGCUGCCUUUCCUAUCUUUAAGGCUUGUGGUUGUCCCGGCAUUCUUAUACCGCUAAGUAAAAGAGCGAAACUUCUAUUAAUAAGAAAUACAGACAGGAAAGUAAUACUAUAUCUCGGGCAUAGGGGCAUUGCAGGUGAGCUUGGCAGCUAUGAAGUAAGGUUGUUACACCAAAGGAGUAAGAUUGACUACAUGGGCAGUUCAUUCUGAUUCUAUUAACAAGCGGUACCGAUUCCCUAGAUUAUAUUAUGAUUACAGAUAGUCUCACAAAGUAUAUACGUAGUCUUGUUGACACUAGCUGUUGUCUUAGAAGCACUCGCUCCAUUCUGUAUUUAGUACUUGAAAGAAAGGACUCGAAUCAGUAGUUAGAGGAUUAGCUUAUAAGCAGUAAGGCGAGACUUGGUUUCAGUAGUU